rnacentral:rRNA from 1 species
GAGUUUGAUCUUGGCUCAGAUUGAACGCUGGCGGCAUGCCUUACACAUGCAAGUCGAACGGCAGCACGGGAGCAAUCCUGGUGGCGAGUGGCGAACGGGUGAGUAACGCAUCGGAACGUGUCCAAUAGUGGGGGAUAGCCCGGCGAAAGCCGGAUUAAUACCGCAUACGACCUACGGGUGAAAGCGGGGGAUCGCAAGACCUCGCGCUACUGGAGCGGCUGAUGUCAGAUUAGGUAGUUGGUGGGGUAAAGGCUCACCAAGCCGACGAUCUGUAGCUGGUCUGAGAGGACGACCAGCCACACUGGGACUGAGACACGGCCCAGACUCCUACGGGAGGCAGCAGUGGGGAAUUUUGGACAAUGGGCGCAAGCCUGAUCCAGCCAUGCCGCGUGCGGGAAGAAGGCCU